UUUCCGUAGGUGAACCUGCGGAAGGAUCAUUCAUAAUAAGUGUUUUAUUGGACUUUUUUAAAUCCAUGUCCACCUUGUGUGCAAUGUCAGGGUUGGUCUCUUCUGUUCAGCACCAAACAUCAACUAUUAUCUCAACUCUUUGUCUGAAAAAUAUUAUGAAUAAAACAAUUCAAAAUACAACUUUCAACAACGGAUCUCUUGGCUCUC
rnacentral:misc_RNA from 1 species